ensembl:lncRNA
UGUAUCUUUUCAAGCUGGCCUUACACUUGUUGCUCAUUUGAUCUUCGCAUCCUCUCUGGAAGUGGGCAUGGGUAAACUGAGGCCCAGAGAGGUAAAGUGUCUUAUUCAAGCAGGUUGGGGAAGGUCAGGGGUUUGUCCCUGGUCUGUUUUAGGAGAUGUUAAUCCUGACAACUCGGCACCAUAAUCUUGGGUGGGGAUGUAUUUGCGGGAGGAUCCCAAUCUAAUCAAGGCAGGAAAAGUAAAGGAUUAGCAACACCACCUGGUUCUGCCCAGCCCACCCCAGCCCACAGCACUGAGUUUAGCCCUGUAGGCCAGGAGGAUGCUCUUGUCUCCAUUGAAAGGAAAAGGAAAAUCUUCACCAUUUCCAUAGGGGCCCAGAGAGGUUAAGUGACUUACAGCAGUUCACACAGCAAAGUAUCUAUGAGGCAGAGGCCCUCCACCCACAGCCAGACGUCUCCUUCUGGAGAGAACCCCCUCCCUGAGUCCUGAAAUUUUGGGGACCUGUCCUGGGGUGGCUUCACCCACUGGGCCAGGAGAUUCUGAUUAUGGAGAAAUGGCCUUCCCUCCACCCCUGCCCCUGCCCAGCCUGGGAACCCUACACCGGGGGUAAUUGAGAUCAGAUGCGGCUGUGACCCACGGAAUGCUCCCCUGGAACCUGGAAGCAUUUAUUGUCUGGAAGAGAAUCCAGGGCCCGUUCUAGGCCCCCUCCCUCCCCGGCUGUCUCCUCCCCGGGCGGCUGAAGGUGGAUAGGGGCCCUGAGGAGCCUCUGGUGCUGGCCGGGGUUGGGCAGCCGGCCUUGAUGAAUCCGCUGCUGAAAGCACCUUCCUGGCUUCCUCCUUCCUGGGGAUACGGUUACAGGGGGCCAGACUUCCUGUCAAGCCCGCCCAGCUCUGCAGGGAUGGUUGGUAAUAGUACCUACUUCAGAGGGUUAUUGUGAAGAUAAAAUGAAGGAUCAUGGAUGAAGCUGCUAUAAGUUGAGGUCAACUACAAGGUUAGAGGGCACAGCCUGCACACGAGACCGCCCUUGCUUCUGACACCACCUGCAAGUUCCGGAGGUGCCCCAAACUGCCUUCAGGUUUGAUAAUUCACUGGAAAGACUCACAAAACUCACUGAAAGCUCUUAUACUCCCCUUAUGGUUUAUUAUUGGGAAAGGAUACAGAUGAGGAUCUGACAAAGGAAGGGCAGAGUUACACAGGUCACACAGCGAGCGAGGGCUGAGGUGGGACUGGCGCCCAUUGGAGGAACUUGCACGCAUAGCCGCUUGAAGCAAUCGUGCUGCCAGGAAGCGUGCUUGCAGUCAGCCCAUCUCAGAGGGGUCAUGGGGCAGACGAAGUGACCUUUGUGUGCGGCCCUGGAGGCAGCAGCAGGGCCAGCGGGGAAGCCAGGGGAUCAGAUUUCAGUUUGAUGUGUCCAAAGACCUUCCAAGAAUGAAGAUGCUUGUGGGAUGGGUGUGAAUGAGCUCCAGCCCUGCAAGGUCUGCCACAGCCAUGGGGACCUGGCCCGUCUGGAGGUCCAGGCGGGGCUGGAGAGGGGGUGGAAGCAGGGGCUCAGAUCCCCUCUCCCUGUCUGCCUCCAGCUCUGCUGGGCCCAGGGUGGGGUCGGGAGAGGGGUGCUGGGGAAAGGGGAAGGAAGAGCCAGCUCAGGUGGAGGUCAGCAGAGGAGGAGCAGGAGGGCUCUGCCUUCCCAAGGCCUCUGGGAAGGAGCUGGGCUUCAGGCCAAGCUGUGGGUUCUAAGGAACAGAUCCAUUCCAGGGUGGGGACAAUUCAUGCAAGGAGUGAACUGCUUGAAUCUGGCCUCUCGGGCAGAUGGGGCAGGCUCAGGGCCCCGAAAGAACUACAACCAGAGAGACUGCUGGGGAAGGACCCAUGUCAAGGGCUAGAAGCCCUGGAUUCCAGCAGCUUCUCUACUGUGUGUUCUUGGGCAAAUUCCUUCCCUAUCUGGGCCGUAGUCUCCUGAUCUGUUACAUGGAGAUUUGGGCCCAAUAACUUGAGGCCCUUCUCCAGAGAGGCAGGAAGCAGGGGCUGGAGAAGGGGUGGGCGGUACUGGAGGUCAGGACAGGACUGGUCUCGGGCAUCUGUCCAUGGGCCUAGAAACUAGUUCCUCCCCCACCCCACCCCCUCCCAGCUUCUCCUCUGUCCACCACACAGACCACAGCCUUCUCUUCUCCUUUCUAUUUUCAGACAUCCUAGAGUUCUGAGGAAGGCCCAGGCUGGCGCCUGCCCAGGAACUCUGGGCUGCUGAGGGAGGCAUCUCCAGAGCAGUUAGUCAGUUUGAUGGGCUUAGGAGCAGACAGCUGGGGCCUCACUCUGGGCUGGAGAAGGGCCUGGCCCUGGCCCAGCCCAGACUGACCAGGAGGCUGGUGGUGGGUAGAGAAAGAGGGAAUGCAGUCCUGGCCCUUGGCCGAAGGCUCACCCUGACCAAGACCAGGACAGUCUUGGGGGCCGUGCCUGGCUGGGCAGAGAGCCUGCAGCCAAGGGCUCCAUGGCUGGAUUCUGGAUUCAGUCUGGCUAAAAUGCCAGCCCUGUCCCGCACAGGCAGGCGGCUCUAUUGCAGGAGGCCAAACCCUGGCUUUCUCCUGUCCCCUGGGCCUGCAAGGGCUUCCCUCUUGUGCUCUCAGAAUUGUGCUUCCAUGACAUGUUGGGUCCUGACCUCAAGAGGUGGGAAGGGUCAGGGUCAGUGGUGAAUAACCCUCACCAGAGGGGUACCCAGAAUGCUUCUUGUCUCCCCCCCUCCCUGCCCCAAAGAGAAUACAUUUUACUGUGAGAGAGCAGACAGACGGAGACAGGGAGGCCCUGCUCUGAGAUGCUGGGGCCAGGCAGGUAUUUCUCUUGGUAAUGGACUUGGCUUCUGGAGGCAGGUGUUCUUCCAGCCACCUCCCAGACACCCAGACCUUCCUGCUCCAGGUUCAGAGUCUGGAGCCUCCACCUCAGGAAGGCCUCCUCCUCACUGCACGAACUCUGACCUUGGGCAAGCUCCCUACAGUCUGUGGGGCUCAGUUUCCCCAUCCAUAAAAUGAGAAAAUUGGCCUAAAUUCCCUCCCAGCUCUGGUGUGCAUCGUUCCGAUUUCCUGAUGGGGGAAACAUUUUUAACUCCCGGGCUCAGGAGGCCUCAGGCCUGGUUUAUCAGCCUCAGGGUGGUUCUCAGGCGGUGACUGUUGUUCUCCUGGGAGGGAAGAGGUGGAAGGGAUGAAGCGAUGGAGGCAUCUCUGUUCAGCAGAGAUAACUCCCCAGCCAGAGGUUGGAACAUGAAGCAGAUUGUGCCAGAAAUAGAGACAGAGAUGGAGAGGGACAGAGUCAGCAGGAGGGAGAUAGCAACUCAGAGAUACUGAAAGAGGAAGAGAGCAUCCAAGACAGAGAUGAAGAGACAGGGCCACCACAGACAGAGGAAGAGAUAACAGACUGCCAGGGAGAGAGAAAGAGAGAAACAGAGAGAUGAGACCCAGACUGAGCGAUAAAGGCAGGAAAAGGAGGGCGGGACCAGAAUACAGUAGAAUGAGACUAGUUGGAUGGGGCAGAAAAGCCAGCAACUGAGCCUUCUGCUCUCUGGGGGUCAAGCUAGAUCCUGCUUUUGCCUGCAAGGUGCCUGGAUCUGGUGGUCCUUCUUCUGCUCAUCAAAUUUCCUCUGGGACUGGGACCCUCCUGCUCCACAACCUAAAUGUCCUCCAGACCUCACCUCCCUGGGGGUAGUGUGUGCAGAGAUGAGAGGCCGCACAGGCUUCCUGGCCUUGGGGUUUUGUUAAAGGGUAGGGGUAAAUGGUGAGGAGUGAGAGAUGAAUGAAGGUUAUUACCUUUAGGGGGAUGUGGUUAGGGUUGGCAGAAAAGCAAGGAGGUGGAAAGUUCAAAGAAAAAUUUCCCCAUCUUUCUUUAGCUCAGGCAUUAACUCUGUGUCUCACUAUUUAGGGAAUGAUAGGGAAUCUGGCAGUGGGGGGAGGGUUCCAGGUACUUAGUGUUGGAUGGAAGGAGGAGAUACAAAAGGAGAAGAACUGAGCUGGGCAAGGAUGGGUUUAGUUGAGUUGAAAUAUGUUGAACGUAGUUGGUUUGGUUGGGGUGGAGUGGAGUUGUGUUACGUCAUGUUGGGGUGGGUUGGGUUGAAUAAAAUUUAGUUUUGUUGGAUUGACUGGAGUUGGAUUUGGGAGCGGAGCUGAGUUGAACUGAUUUGACUUGAAUUUAGUAGAGUUAAGCUGAGUUGGGUUGUGUUGAGAAAGGUUGGGUUGGGUUGAAUGAAGUGGAGUUGAGUUUGAUUGAAUUGAGUUAGGUUGGAUUUAAGUAGGUUGAGUGGAAAUAAGCUGGGUUGACUUGAGUUGGAUUUAGGAAGAUUGAGGUGGGUUGAGUUGAGUUAAUUAGGUUGAGUUGCUCUGGAGUAAGAAAGCUAUAAGACUCCAAGAAGACAGGAGUAAGGAGGAGCCCAGAUCCAGCAUAAUCCAAAUUAUGCUGCCAGGGAAGGAAGAUGGAGUGAGAUACCAACAAGGAGAGACCUGCUGAGGGGAGAUGUCCAAGGCUGAGAUCUAAACAGAUCUUUGAGUCGGAGAUGGUUUGGCAAACAAAUGAUCUGUUUCAGUGUUUCUCUGUCUUUUUACCACUCUACACUUCCACUGGUAUGGAGGUUCAGUAUGGCUGUGAUUCGCAUCUUGUGAUGGGAAGAAGUGAAUAUUAGAAUCUCAUUUGCUCAUUUGCAUGUGCUCACGUGUGUGUGUGUGUGUGUGUGUGUGGAAGGGGAGUGUAAUUCGAAAAAAUACCUAAAGGAGAUUCUUAGAUGCCUCCCAAGCUAGAGCAUGCUCCAGGUGAGAAUCAAUAUCCCACAGAAUCUUUUUUAUUCCCCAAAUUUAUUAAAAUGUAUUUGACAUGUUACAGUGUGUAAGUUUAAGGUGUACAACGUGAUGAUUUGAUACACAUACAUAUUGCAAAAUGAUUACCACAACGUUAGUUAACACAUCCCUUACCUCACAGUUACCGUUUAUGUGUGUGUUGAGAACAUUUAAGAUCUGCUCUCUUAGCAACUUUCAAGUAUACGAUAUGGUACUAUUAACAAUAGUCCCCGUGCUGUAUAUUUGAUCCUCAGAACUUUCUCAUCUCAGAGUUGGAAGUUUGUCCACUUUGACCACCAUCACCCAUUUUCUUUAACCCCCAGCCCCUGGCAACCACCAAUCUACCCUUUCUAUGUG